UGGGGAAUAUUGCACAAUGGGCGCAAGACUGAUGCAGCCAUGCCGCGUGUAUGAAGAAGGCCUUCGGGUUGUAAAGUACUUUCAGCGAGGAGGAAGGCGUUGUGGUUAAUAACCGCAACGAUUGACGUUACUCGCAGAAGAAGCACCGGCUAACUCCGUGCCAGCAGCCGCGGUAAUACGGAGGGGGCAAGCGUUAAUCGGAAUUACUGGGCGUAAAGCGCACGCAGGCGGUCUGUCAAGUCGGAUGUGAAAUCCCCGGGCUCAACCUGGGAACUGCAUCCGAAACUGGCAGGCUAGAGUCUUGUAGAGGGGGGUAGAAUUCCAGGUGUAGCGGUGAAAUGCGUAGAGAUCUGGAGGAAUACCGGUGGCGAAGGCGGCCCCCUGGACAAAGACUGACGCUCAGGUGCGAAAGCGUGGGGAGCAAACA
rnacentral:rRNA from 1 species